GGUGAGUAACACGUGGGCAACCUGCCCCGCACACUGGGAUAAGCCCUGGAAACGGGGUCUAAUACCGGAUAUGACUCAAGGUCGCAUGGUCUUGGGUGGAAAGCUCCGGCGGUGCGGGAUGGGCCCGCGGCCUAUCAGCUUGUUGGUGAGGUAACGGCUCACCAAGGCGACGACGGGUAGCCGGCCUGAGAGGGCGACCGGCCACACUGGGACUGAGACACGGCCCAGACUCCUACGGGAGACAGCAGUGGGGAUAUUGCACAAUGGGCGCAAGCCUGAUGGAGCGACGCCGCGUUGAGGGAUGAAGGCCUUCGGGUUGUAAACCUCUUUCAGCAGGGAAGAAGCUCUUGAGUGACGGUACCUGCAGAAGAAGCGCCGGCUAACUACGUGCCAGCAGCCGCGGUAAUACGUAGGGCGCGAGCGUUGUCCGGAAUUAUUGGGCGUAAAGAGCUCGUAGGCGGCUUGUCGCGUCGGUUGUGAAAGCCCGGGGCUUAACUCCGGGUCUGCAGUCGAUACGGGCAGGCUAGAGUUCGGUAGGGGAGAUCGGAAUUCCGGUGUAGCGGUGAAAUGCGCAGAUAUCACGAGGAACACCGGUGGCGAAGCGGAUCUCUGGGCCGAUACUGACGCUGAGAGCGAAAGCGUAGGGAGCGAACAGGAUUAGAUACCCUGAUAGUACCACGCCGUAAACGGUGGGCACUAGGUGUGGGCGGCAUUCCACGUCGUCCGUGCCGUAGCUAACGCAUUAAGUGCCCCGCCUGGGGAGUACGGCCGCAAGGCUAAAAACUCAAAGGAAUUGACGGGGGCCCGCACAAGCGGCGGAGCAUGUGGCUUAAUUCGACGCAACGCGAAGAACCUUACCAAGGCUUGACAUACACCGGAAACAUCCAGAGAUGGGUGCCCCCUUGUGGUCGGUGUACAGGUGGUGCAUGGCUGUCGUCAGCUCGUGUCGUGAGAGUUGGGUUAAGUCCCGCAACGAGCGCAACCCUUGUCCCGUGUUGCCAGCAGGCCCUUGUGGUGCUGGGGACUCACGGGAGACCGCCGGGGUCAACUCGGAGGAAGGUGGGGACGACGUCAAGUCAUCAUGCCCCUUAUGUCUUGGGCUGCACACGUGCUACAAUGGCCGGUACAAAGAGCUGCGAUGCCGUGAGGCGGAGCGAAUCUCAAAAAGCCGGUCUCAGUUCGGAUUGGGGUCUGCAACUCGACCCCAUGAAGUCGGAGUCGCUAGUAAUCGCAGAUCAGCAUUGCUGCGGUGAAUACGUUCCCGGGCCUUGUACACACCGCCCGUCACGUCACGAAAGUCGG
rnacentral:rRNA from 1 species